UACGUAGGGUGCGAGCGUUGUCCGGAAUUAUUGGGCGUAAAGAGCUCGUAGGCGGUGUGUCGCGUCGGCCGUGAAAACCUGGGGCUCAACUCUGGGCGUGCGGUCGAUACGGGCAUCACUUGAGUUCGGCAGGGGAGACUGGAAUUCCUGGUGUAGCGGUGAAAUGCGCAGAUAUCAGGAGGGAACACCGGUGGCGAAGGCGGGUCUC
rnacentral:rRNA from 1 species